rnacentral:tRNA from 1 species
AGCGACUGGAGAAGGCAUUCAAGGCUUUCUUUCGCAGAGUCAAGGCAGGCCAGACACCGGGCUAUCCACGCUUCAAAGGCGCGGGUUGGUAC